AUGCAUCUAUCUGACAAGCCUGGAGCUCUUACUGUCUGCUAAGGUUUCCACUACAGAUGCAAGAAAAACGUGUCCUUGUGUCUUCAGUCUGUCUGAUUGUGGCAGCCCAGAUUGAAUAGGGGAAUACAGGG
ensembl:snoRNA